GAGUUAGGGUUCGUCCAACGAGCCCGACCUCCCAACCCUUUGUCUAUUUUACCUUGUCGUUGCUUCGGCGGACCGGUCGCGACCAACUGGUCGUGGCCGCCGGGGGUCCACCUCCUGGAGAGCGCUCGCCGAUGGCCCAACCACAAACUCUUGUAUCAAACCAUGUCGUCUGAAUUACUUGAUUAAAAUCAAAAAACAAAACUUUCAACAACGGAUCUCUUGGUUCA
rnacentral:misc_RNA from 1 species